rnacentral:tRNA from 1 species
GGUGGCUGGGCCGGGCACGGGUCCGCUGCGCUGAGACCGCUGCUGCCGGGGAAAUCGCCUCAGCCGGCAGCUUGUUCAACGCCGGCGGCAGCCGC